UGGUGCUUGCAUCAUGAUUUACAUUUGAGUGAGUGGCGAACUGGUGAGUAACACGUGGGAAACCUGCCCAGAAGCGGGGGAUAACACCUGGAAACAGAUGCUAAUACCGCAUAACAACUUGGACCGCAUGGUCCGAGUUUGAAAGAUGGCUUCGGCUAUCACUUUUGGAUGGUCCCGCGGCGUAUUAGCUAGAUGGUGAGGUAACGGCUCACCAUGGCAAUGAUACGUAGCCGACCUGAGAGGGUAAUCGGCCACAUUGGGACUGAGACACGGCCCAAACUCCUACGGGAGGCAGCAGUAGGGAAUCUUCCACAAUGGACGAAAGUCUGAUGGAGCAACGCCGCGUGAGUGAAGAAGGGUUUCGGCUCGUAAAACUCUGUUGUUAAAGAAGAACAUAUCUGAGAGUAACUGUUCAGGUAUUGACGGUAUUUAACCAGAAAGCCACGGCUAACUACGUGCCAGCAGCCGCGGUAAUACGUAGGUGGCAAGCGUUGUCCGGAUUUAUUGGGCGUAAAGCGAGCGCAGGCGGUUUUUUAAGUCUGAUGUGAAAGCCUUCGGCUCAACCGAAGAAGUGCAUCGGAAACUGGGAAACUUGAGUGCAGAAGAGGACAGUGGAACUCCAUGUGUAGCGGUGAAAUGCGUAGAUAUAUGGAAGAACACCAGUGGCGAAGGCGGCUGUCUGGUCUGUAACUGACGCUGAGGCUCGAAAGUAUGGGUAGCAAACAGGAUUAGAUACCCUGGUAGUCCAUACCGUAAACGAUGAAUGCUAAGUGUUGGGAGGGUUUCCGCCCUUCAGUGCUGCAGCUAACGCAUUAAGCAUUCCGCCUGGGGGAGUACGGCCGCAAGGCUGAAACUCAAAGGAAUUGACGGGGGCCCGCACAAGCGGUGGAGCAUGUGGUUUAAUUCGAAGCUACGCGAAGAACCUUACCAGGUCUUGACAUACUAUGCAAAUCUAAGAGAUUAGACGUUCCCUUCGGGGACAUGGAUACAGGUGGUGCAUGGUUGUCGUCAGCUCGUGUCGUGAGAUGUUGGGUUAAGUCCCGCAACGAGCGCAACCCUUAUUAUCAGUUGCCAGCAUUAAGUUGGGCACUCUGGUGAGACUGCCGGUGACAAACCGGAGGAAGGUGGGGAUGACGUCAAAUCAUCAUGCCCCUUAUGACCUGGGCUACACACGUGCUACAAUGGAUGGUACAACGAGUUGCGAACUCGCGAGAGUAAGCUAAUCUCUUAAAGCCAUUCUCAGUUCGGAUUGUAGGCUGCAACUCGCCUACAUGAAGUCGGAAUCGCUAGUAAUCGCGGAUCAGCAUGCCGCGGUGAAUACGUUCCCGGGCCUUGUACACACCGCCCGUCACACCAUGAGA
rnacentral:rRNA from 1 species